UUGACAUGGCAGGAACUUUCCAGAGAUGGAUUGGUGCUCGAAAGAGAACCUGCACACAGGUGCUGCAUGGCUGUCGUCAGCUCGUGUCGUGAGAUGUUGGGUUAAGUCCCGCAACGAGCGCAACCCUUGUCAUUAGUUGCUACGAAAGGGCACUCUAAUGAGACUGCCGGUGACAAACCGGAGGAAGGUGGGGAUGACGUCAAGUCCUCAUGGCCCUUAUGGGUAGGGCUUCACACGUCAUACAAUGGUCGGUACAGAGGGUUGCCAAGCCGCGAGGUUGAGCCAAUCCCAGAAAACCGAUCGUAGUCCGGAUCGCAGUCUGCAACUCGACUGCGUGAAGUCGGAAUCGCUAGUAAUCGCGGAUCAGAAUGCCGCGGUGAAUACGUUCCCGGGUCUUGUACACAC
rnacentral:rRNA from 1 species